rnacentral:rRNA from 1 species
GACGAACGCUGGCGGCGUGCUUAAUACAUGCAAGUCAACUGAACUUGAGGUAGUAAUACUUCAAGGGAGGUGGCGGCACGGGUUGAGUAACACGUAGGUAAUCUGCCUUUAGGACUGACAUAAUUCCGCGAAAGCGGGACUAAUAUCAGAUAAUGCAGCGGCUCGACAUCGAGACAGUUUGUUAAAACCCGUUCGGGGUC